CUUAUAAGGCUGGUAAAGAGUUAUGAGCUGUUGAUUUUUUUGGUGAUAGAUAUGAGUAUUAUAAGAUAAUUUAUCAAGCUUAAAACCGGCGGAAGCACUUAGGUUGAGAUAUUUUUUUUGAAAUCUUACGAUUUUCAUCAACUAGACUAUGUAAACGGAACACCCACAGAGUAAACACGUUUUAGGUACAUAGUUGCGUUUAAUGUUAACCUGUUUUGACACUUUCUUGUCCACACUACACCCAACUUAAUUUUAUUUACU